rnacentral:rRNA from 1 species
UGGGGAAUAUUGGACAAUGGGGGCAACCCUGAUCCAGCAAUGCCGCGUGUGUGAAGAAGGCCUUCGGGUUGUAAAGCACUUUAGGCUGGGAAGAAGGUGUGGUGAAGAGCCAUAUUUGACGGUACCAGCGGAAUAAGCACCGGCUAACUCUGUGCCAGCAGCCGCGGUAAUACAGAGGGUGCGAGCGUUAAUCAGAAUUACUGGGCGUAAAGGGCGCGUAGGCGGGAAAUUAAGUGAGAUGUGAAAUCCCCGGGCUUAACCUGGGAAUGGCAUCUUAAACUGGUUUUCUAGAGUAUUGUAGAGGGUAGUGGAAUUUCCGGUGUAGCGGUGAAAUGCGUAGAGAUCGGAAGGAACACCAGUGGCGAAGGCGGCUACCUGGACAAAUACUGACGCUGAGGCG